rnacentral:rRNA from 1 species
UAGCCGUAAACGAUACUCGCUAGGUGUCGGCCACGGUGCGACCGUUGUCGGUGCCGUAGGGAAGCCGUGAAGCGAGCCACCUGGGAAGUACGGCCGCAAGGCUGAAACUUAAAGGAAUUGGCGGGGGAGCACCACAACGGGUGGAGCUUGCGGUUUAAUUGGAUUCAACGCCGGAAAUCUUACCGGGACCGACAGCAACAUGAAGGCCAGGCUGAAGGCUUUGCCGGAUUAGCUGAGAGGAGGUGCAUGGCGUAGUCGUGU